AGAUUGAAGAGUCCGCCCGAAAUAAAAAUAAGGAGAAUCGGGCUUCAAAAACCGCAAAUAACGGAUAAAAAGACAAGUAUAAGCCGUUCUAAUGCGCCCCCAAAUAAAUGCUGCCCGUGACCGCCUCAUUGCUUUUUCGUCCAGAGGUAAUUAAAAUGCUACAAACUUAUUAUUAUUAUUCUAUUUUGGAUUAUAAUAAAAAUCAAGGCCAACUCGCUCCACUCCUCGCCUCAUAUAGAUGAAGAUUCGCUGCAUGCCAAAGAUUAAAAAAACAAGCAUACACCUGCACUAUUACUUCAGCGGAAUGCAACCUUCCGCAGGCCAAAGGAUAACGGUGUUUUUAAUUUUUUCGAAGGACGUUGUUUGUUUCGCUUCUUUUCUUUUUUUUUUUUACGAAAAUUGUGCCGGUGACCCAUCUUACAUUGAAAUACGUUAAAGGCGUAUUCUGGCGGUGUCAUCGGUCACUAUUCAUAAGAAAAGAUUAUGUUGUUUUUGCAACAAGCGGAAGUUUAUGCCAACAAAAUAUAAUUUGUGUGAAGCAUUAUUUUUGCUGUUUAAUUUAUUUAUCUAUUUAUUU